rnacentral:tRNA from 1 species
AUCAGAGUGGCGCAGUAGAAGAGUGGUGGGCCCAUAACCUACAGGUCCACGGAUCGAAACCAUGCUCUGAUA